UUUUUUAAUUUUUUUUCCAUUCUAAUCUCAAGCUACAUUAUUAUAUUUUUCAGGAACUGAACAAAAAUCUCCAAAUCACAGAAGUUUAUGUGACUCUAAGCCAUUCUUUAACGAUAUAAAGGAGAUACUAAAGCCAGAAACAAAGGCAAGGAAAGAUCACAGUCUUUGAGGGAGUGGUGUUGGAGCUUGGCCUUC
rnacentral:lncRNA from 1 species